UACAGAGGGUGCGAGCGUUGUUCGGAAUUACUGGGCGUAAAGGGCGCGUAGGCGGCCUUCUAAGUCGAACGUGAAAUCCCUGGGCUCAACCCAGGAACUGCGUCCGAUACUGGAAGGCUUGAAUCCGGGAGAGGGAUGCGGAAUUCCAGGUGUAGCGGUGAAAUGCGUAGAUAUCUGGAGGAAUACCGGUGGCGAAGGCGGCAUCCUGGACUAAUACUGACGCUGAGGCGCGAAAGCUAGGGGAGCAAACGGG
rnacentral:rRNA from 1 species